CAUUGUCAGUGCUCGCUUCGGCAGCACAUACACUAAAAAGCAAAGUCAUAGAUUUUGUCCUUUGAGGCUGAGAUUACCUGCUGAACUCAGGUUAACUGAACAGCCAUUUUAUCACUGUAGGUCUUAAAUUUAGGCAUAUGAAAUCUAGAAUUCCUAGGACAGUUUUGUUACUAUGAUUUCAAGAGAUUUGCUGUAAGCAUGCUAUUGGUAAAUAGGUUUGUUUCUGCUUUUACAUUUCUUACUAAACACUUUGGAAAGGGAGCAAGAAAUGGAUAAAAUUCAUUUUAGACAUUUUAGUGAAACUCAGUACAUAAAUAAUCUUACUUCAGUUUAAAGUAUGUUUCCCUUUUCCACCUUUAGUCUUUUGGCAUAUCUCAGUUGGGACUGAUCACAUUCCAAAUUUCAGUGGCCGUCCUGGGUAGUCGGAGUGCUACGGGAUAGCACAGUUCUGUGAGAACUUUGUGAAUAUUAAAUCGAUGUAAAUCUGCAAACCUUAUGUUUUGAAUAGGUAAGGGCGAGCUUUUUUGGGCUGGGUUGUCUUACGCAGACAAGCUGUAUUUCUGACCGUUCCAGGGCUAAUUGACAUCCUGUCCCCCUGUGUAGUAUUACUAUUUUUCUGUGAUACCAAAAAAAAAGUCUGAAACACGUAUAUUGGCAAUUCCCAGCAAUCUGCAAAAUAGGUAUUUCCUUCAGUGAAGCAAAUUUGAUGGUUUUACUUAUUCAAUUUGUAGCAUUAUAGGUGAACUUUAGCAGAAAGGUUUAGAAAAUUAAAAAGCUUAUUCAAUUCAUUGUUGGCCUUUAUGGUUUAAUAGGAGAUAAUACAAGUUAUCACUACCGUGCCCUACCCCCAAGAAAAAGAUUGCCUUUUAAAUCUAGACUUUUCUGAAUGAGUUCUGUGGCCGACUAUCUCCAAAGACAGAAUUAGGAGCUCUGCCGUUGAAGUCAGCCCGGCAGGCUGUUGCUCAGCUACUGUAAUCUGAUGGGGGAAAUGGGACGGCCUCUCGGGUUUGGUUUGAUACACCUGAAUCUGCCGGUGAUACACUUGAUCACUGAAAAUUCUUCACAAAGAUGGAGUAUUUGCCAAAUGCUAAAGGAAGGUAUUUCCCCUGAGGUUUUUGUCUUGUUUUGAGGCCACAACUGAUUGCAGCAUUUCAGAUGCCACUUCCUAAAAAAGACCAUUUCUAUGAACGGAGUCGUAUAGCUCAAAGUACAAAGGUUUUCUCUCUUCUCCGGUGGAGUCUGCCUUUAAGGAAUUAUCCAUCACAGCUUGCCUUGUUUGAAAGCAUAGCCAGGCAGUAGAGUUAGUAAUAUCCCUUAUAACCACUCUGCUUUUAUAAGCUACAUUUUUGCAAAUUUGGUUUAGUUUUGGGUGUUUUUGGUUGAGCACUUUAUAUGCUUUUGAAGUCUUGCAUUUAAGAAUGUAAUUUAGGAAUUCUCCUUUAAAGCCAUGCUAAAACUGAGCAAGAAUAAUGAAAAUGUGUAUGUUGCUUUGCAUUUGAUUUACUAUUUUGUGAUAUCUGUAAACCAAAAAUUAGGAAUAUAUUGCCUUUUUGUAAUAAUACAUUAUUUAAAGUGGCUGCCAUGAACUAUCAAUGAUAUAUCCUGCUCUGUUUGUUCUAAUGUUUAAUCCUAAUACUGAGGGAAUUCAGUCUACCUUGUUUAUGUGUUAGGUAUUCUUAGAAAACACUGUACUUUAUGUGUUUCAUAAUCUUUUCAAUAUUUAAGAGAAGUUGUCUUAUAUUUUGUACUGAAUAAGCCUAGUACAAUUGCUGAAGACCCCAAAAGUAAUUUCUUUCUUCCCUUAACAUAUUUAUUAUUAAUGACUCCGUAAAAAUGAUGAUGUAGAGCAUGAAUAAUCCCUACUUUUCUGUCAUAUCUAAAGUUUGAGAAAUUCCUGCUUCUUAAAAGUACGCAUAUUUUCUUAAAUCUAUCCCCACUGUUGGCAUUAUCUGCCUCCUGUUUUCAUGGCAGAGAUUCAUAAUUUGGUAUUAAAAAUAGUGCCAGACAGUGAUCUAACUUUCUUGGAGUUAUUUUCUUUGUAAAUUGGGGAAUCAGUUCAUUGCAGUGGAAAAUGACUUAGUUAUCAUCAGGAUCCUGAGAAGGCUGUUUCAUUUGUGACCAUAUUUAGAAUGACGGAAAUAAAAUUUUCAGAUAGUUGCUGUCAUAUUUUGGAGUUAAUUUUUAGUGCUUGUGUAAAUUUUGCACUUGAUCAUUGCGUUUAUUGAUACAUUAAUAGGUUUUGUAUUUUUGCCAAAUCAAUAGAAUGGUAUUGAUUCUCUCGCUGUUAACUGUAAUGACCAAGUAAAUUUACCUUAAAAUAAUGUGAAGUUUUUUAAAAAUGUGUGUGUGUGUACGCAUUAUAAUCUGUUAAACAAUAUAGCAUUUUUACAGUUCAAAAUUAAGUGGGCAUUAUUAUAGCUUCUUCAUUGUACAAAAGGAAGACAUCCCACUAAAUUUAUAGAUGCUGGAGUCUUAGAUAUUCCUGGAAUUUUUUUUUUUUAAGUGACCCUUUUCCUGGCGCUGUUUCCUAUUUGUAAUCAUUGUGUGUGGAGAUAACUGCGGGACAGACCCUCCUGAAGUGGAUUUUUGCUUGCAUCCAACAGUUCAUAGCAAAAAUUAUAAAAAGUUUAAUCACCUGCAAAUAAGUUGAGAUACCGUAAAUUAUAGUCAACUGCACAUAGGUAAGAAGUGAGAUAUUUCCUUCUAAGGGUUGCCCCAGAAUAAUGAUGACCGUGUCCACAUUCCUACCUUACUGGGUCUGUGUAGCUGUGAAUUGAUGCUGACGCUUCAGGUACCACAGUUAGCACCGAGGGUGAGUCUGAGUAAGAAUGUGUUUUGUUUUGCUUUGUUUUGUUUUUCUUAAUAUCUAAAUAUUUUUAUUUAUGCUGUAGCUUCUUCUAUAGCCAAAUGGCUUCUUUAAAUUUUCAGUCUUUAAUGUUUUAAAAGACAAACAAGGAAUGUGGUUUUUAAGCUAUUAGGAGUAAAGAUCAAGAUUUUGAGUUAUAUAAAUACACAGCUAAUUCAGUUGUACCAUAUUACAUUUUGGGUCUUGCUAUUUUUAAACAUCCAUAUGUUACAGUGUUUAUAGUUCUAAAGUUUUCAAGAAAAACAUUUCAGUUUGAUGUAAUUUGUGAGAUGCACUUAAAUCAUGUACAUUUGGAAUUAUUUGGCUUUAGGUCGCAUCUCUUGCGUUUCGGUCACAGGUAUUAAAGCCAUUUUGAAAUUGGCCACUUUUUUUUUUUUUUUGAGUGACCGCUUUGAGUUUACAGUGUUUAAAAAUGAAACAUAACCUGAUAGAGCCUAUAUGAAUAGUGUAGUCUAUUGCCCCAAGUAUACGUAGUGGCUUUUGAGAAUGUGAGUGAUAAUGAGAUGGUUUGACCAUUUUUUUCUACAUUAUGUGCUUUUAUUUUUUAAUGGAAGAACAGCAAAACUGAUUUUCUAACUAAAGUUGAGUGGUGUACUUGUCCUAAUUCUGCCCAGUCUUUGACCAAAUCAUACCUGGAAGAUACUUUAAUUCCCAAUUAGAGAAUCCUUUAAUUGGAGUGUUAAUUUUACUAAUACAUGCCAUUUCAGCUUAAGUUGCCUUAUUCUGUCUGUUAUGUUAUUCUUGUUCAGCGUAAGCUUUGUUGUGUCAUUCUGCUAACAGUCUGUAAAAAUGUAUGAUGUGCUUCAAAUUUAUUCAUAAUAAGCUAAGUUAUCAUUGUAACCUGUAAAACAUUUCUUGUAAAUUGCCUAAUUUAUUUUUUCAUUUAUGUGUAAUUAUAUGUAAAUUAAAAUAUUUGUUGUAGUCUAUUCUAUAAACAUUCCCAUCCUCUUAAUGCUUAUUUGCAUGAAGGAAACUUGGGUUUGCUUGUUGGAUUGCAUAGCCAUUAAGCCAACUUCAGUAUCUCUGCCUUUUCUGUAGUUUAACUUUUUCUAAGUUUGUUCCUAUCUAGAUAUAAAUGUUAGAAUCAUGCUUUUUACUUCCUACUUUCAAAAUAAAUUCUCUAGGUUGUUUA